CACUUCUAAGGAAGGCAGCAGGCGCGCAAAUUACCCAAUCCUGACUCAGGGAGGUAGUGACAAGAAAUAACAAUAAACCGGCUUAUGCCGGUUUAAUUGGAAUGAGUACAAUUUAAACAUCUUAACGAGGAACAAUUGGAGGGCAAGUCUGGUGCCAGCAGCCGCGGUAAUUCCAGCUCCAAUAGCGUAUACUAAAGUUGUUGCAGUUAAAAAGCUCGUAGUUGGAUUUCUGUGGGGGCGGAGCGGCCGGCCGCAACACGCGGUUCGAGCUAGCGCUUUCCCUACAUCCUGCCGCGAACCGUGCUACCAUUAGUUUGGUGGCGCCGGGGAUCGGCUCGAUUACUUUGAGAAAAAUAGAGUGUUCAAAGCAGGCCACACGCCUUGAAUAAGUUAGCAUGGAAUAAUAACUAAGGACUUCGGUUCUAUUUUGUUGGUGUUCGGGACUGAAGUAAUGAUUGAUAGGGACAGUUGGGGCGGUCUGUAUUCCAAAGCGAGAGGUGAAAUUCUUAGACCUUCGGAAGACAAACAGCUGCGAAAGCGUUCCGCAAGGAUGUUCCCUUUGAUCAAGAACGAAAGUUGGGGGAUCGAAGACGAUCAGAUACCGUCGUAGUCUCAACUAUAAACUAUACCAGCUAGGGAUCGGCCAACGUUAUUCUAUACCGACUUGGUCGGCACCUUAUGAGAAAUCAAAGCAUCUGGGUUCCGGGGGGAGUAUGGUCGCAAGGCUGAAACUUAAAGGAAUUGACGGAAGGGCACCACCAGCCGUGGAGCCUGUGGCUUAAUUUGACUCAACACGGGAAAACUUACCAGGUCCAGACAUAGUAGGGAUUGACAGAUUGAUAGCUCUUUCUUGAUUCUGUGGGUGGUGGUGCAUGGCCGUUCUUAGUUGGUGGAGUGAUUUGUCUGGUUAAUUCCGUUAACGAACGAGACCCCAGCCUGCUAAAUAGCGCGCAUGAGCUUUGCUCGUGGCGAGCUUCUUAGAGGGACUAUGAUGCGCGAUAGCACAUGGAAGUUUGGGGCAAUAACAGGUCUGUGAUGCCCUUAGAUGUUCUGGGCCGCACACGGGCUACACUGGCGCCUGCAACGAGCAUAUCAGCUGGCCCGAGAGAGUCUUGGCUAAUCUUUUGAACCGGCGCCGUGCUUGGGAUUGACCUUUGCAAUUGUUGGUCAUGCAACGAGGAAUGCCUUGUAAACGCGAGUCAUCAGCUCGCAUUGAAUACGUCCCUGCCCUUUGUACACACCGCCCGUCGCUCCUACCGAUGAAUGUUCCGAUGAAAUUUUCGGAGAGCACCUGUGAACUUGGCUCUGCCUUGCGAACGGGAGGCUCAAAGUCACUUAAAUCUGAACAUUU
rnacentral:rRNA from 1 species